rnacentral:rRNA from 1 species
GGACAGAGUUUGAUCCUGGCUCAGAUUGAACGCUGGCGGAAUGCUUUACACAUGCAAGUCGAACGGCAGCACGGGGCAACCUGGUGGCGAGUGGCGAACGGGUGAGUAAUACAUCGGAACGUGCCCAAUCGUGGGGGAUAACGUAGCGAAAGUUACGCUAAUACCGCAUAUUCUGUGAGCAGGAAAGCAGGGGAUCGCAAGACCUUGCGCUGAUUGAGCGGCCGAUAUCAGAUUAGCUAGUUGGUGAGGUAAAGGCUCACCAAGGCGACGAUCUGUAGCGGGUCUGAGAGGAUGAUCCGCCACACUGGAACUGAGACACGGUCCAGACUCCUACGGGAGGCAGCAGUGGGGAAUUUUGGACAAUGGGGGCAACCCUGAUCCAGCCAUGCCGCGUGAGUGAAGAAGGCCUUCGGGUUGUAAAGCUCUUUCGGCCGGGAAGAAAUCGUAUGGGCUAAUACCCUGUGCGGAUGACGGUACCGGCAUAAGAAGCACCGGCUAACUACGUGCCAGCAGCCGCGGUAA